rnacentral:rRNA from 1 species
GAUGAACGCUGGCGGCGUGCCUAAUACAUGCAAGUCGAGCGAACAGACGAGGAGCUUGCUCCUCUGACGUUGGCGGCGGACGGGUGAGUAACACGUGGAUAACCUACCUAUAAGACUGGGAUAACUUCGGGAAACCGGAGCUAAUACCGGAUAACAUGUUGAACCGCAUGGUUCAACAGUGAAAGACGGUCUUGCUGUCACUUAUAGAUGGAUCCGCGCCGCAUUAGCUAGUUGGUAAGGUAACGGCUUACCAAGGCAACGAUGCGUAGCCGACCUGAGAGGGUGAUCGGCCACACUGGAACUGAGACACGGUCCAGACUCCUACGGGAGGCAGCAGUAGGGAAUCUUCCGCAAUGGGCGAAAGCCUGACGGAGCAACGCCGCGUGAGUGAAGAAGGUCUUCGGAUCGUAAAACUCUGUUAUUAGGGAAGAACAAAUGUGUAAGUAACUAUGCACGUCUUGACGGUACCUAAUCAGAAAGCCACGGCUAACUACGUG